rnacentral:rRNA from 1 species
UUUGAAAUCGGCCACCAGGUCGAGUUGUAAUUUGUAGAUUGUAUCUUGAGAGCGGAUUAAAGUCUGUUGGAACACAGCGCCUUAGAGGGUGACAGCCCCGUAAAAUCUAUUCUCAUUGUAAGAUACUUUCGAAGAGUCGAGUUGUUUGGGAAUGCAGCUCUAAGUGGGAGGUAAAUUCCUUCUAAAGCUAAAUAUUGACGAGAGACCGAUAGCGAACAAGUACUGUGAAGGAAAGAUGAAAAGCACUUUGAAAAGAGAGUGAAAAAGUACGUGAAAUUGUUAAAAGGGAAGGGUAUUGAAUCAGACUUGGUGCUGUUGUUCAACUGUGUUUCGGCAUAGUGUACUCAGCAGUACUAGGCCAAGGUGGGGUGUUUGGGAGUGAAAAAGAAGUUGGAACGUAACUCUUCGGAGUGUUAUAGCCUACUUUCAUAGCUCCUCAGGCGCCUCAGGACUGCGCUUCGGCAAGGACCUUGGCAUAAUGAUUCUAUACCGCCCGUCUUGAAACACGGACCAAGGAGUCUAACGUCUAUGCGAGUGUUUGGGUGUAAAACCCGUACGCGUAAUGAAAGUGAACGUAGAUAGGAGCAGUAAUGCGCACUAUCGACCGAUCCUGAAGUUUUCAGAUGGAUUUGAGUAAGAGCAUAGCUGUUGGGACCCGAAAGAUGGUGAACUAUGCCUGAAUAGGGUGAAGCCAGAGGAAACUCUGGUGGAGGCUCGUAGCGGUUCUGACGUGCAAAUCGAUCGUCGAAUUU